GGGCUCAUAGCUCAGUUGGUUAGAGCGUCACAUUGACAUUGUGAAGGCCAGAGGUUCGAGUCCUCUUGGGCCCA
rnacentral:tRNA from 1 species